GUGAGCGACUGAAGCGGCUCCCAAGGGUCUGGAGACCGUGGGGCGGGCUCCAGAAUCCGAGCCCAUCGCCCUGGCCUGGGGUCCUCCCCUGUACCAAACCCAGUUUCCUAUUCCCCUCCCGAACUGGGCAGUUAGCCAGUCGGCCCCAGCUCUCGGAACCAUGUUUGCAGACUUAGACUAUGACAUCGAGGAGGAUAAAUUAGGAAUCCCCACUGUGCCCGGGAAGGUCACCCUGCAGAAGGAUGCUCAGAACCUGAUUGGCAUCAGCAUCGGAGGAGGGGCCCAGUACUGUCCUUGUCUCUACAUUGUCCAGGUAUUUGAUAACACGCCUGCAGCCUUGGACGGCACUGUGGCAGCUGGUGAUGAGAUCACUGGGGUCAAUGGCCGAUCAAUCAAAGGAAAAACCAAGGUAGAGGUGGCGAAGAUGAUUCAGGAGGUGAAGUGUUGAAGAAAGUCAAGCACCGGCUGGUAGAAAACAUGAGUUCAGGCACAGCUGAUGCCCUGGGUCUAAGCCGUGCCAUCCUGUGUAAUGAUGGGUUGGUAAAGCGGCUGGAGGAGCUGGAGCGCACUGCCGAGCUGUACAAAGGAAUGACGGAGCACACCAAGAAUCUCCUACGGGCCUUUUAUGAGCUGUCACAGACUCACCGGGCUUUUGGGGACGUGUUCUCUGUGAUUGGGGUGCGGGAGCCGCAGCCAGCAGCAAGUGAAGCAUUUGUGAAGUUUGCUGACGCACACCGCAGCAUUGAGAAGUUCGGCAUUCGGCUACUGAAAACCAUCAAACCGAUGCUGACGGAUCUGAACACGUACCUCAAUAAGGCCAUCCCUGAUACACGCCUCACCAUCAAGAAGUACCUGGAUGUGAAGUUUGAGUACUUGUCAUACUGUCUGAAGGUGAAGGAGAUGGACGACGAGGAGUACAGCUGCAUUGCCCUAGGAGAGCCGCUAUACCGAGUGAGCACAGGCAACUAUGAGUACCGCCUUAUCCUGCGCUGCCGCCAGGAGGCUCGAGCCCGCUUCUCCCAGAUGCGCAAGGAUGUGCUGGAGAAGAUGGAGCUGCUGGACCAGAAGCACGUCCAGGACAUCGUGUUCCAGCUGCAGCGCUUCGUGUCUACCAUGUCCAAGUACUAUAAUGACUGCUAUGCGGUGCUGCGGGACGCCGACGUCUUCCCCAUCGAGGUGGACCUGGCACACACCACUCUAGCCUACGGCCCUAACCAGGGCGGCUUUACCGAUGGCGAAGAUGAGGAGGAGGAGGAGGAGGACGGGGCAGCUAGGGAAGUGUCCAAGGACGCACGUGGGGCCACUGGGCCUACAGACAAGGGCAGAAGCUGGUGUGACUCCUGAGUGCCCCCCUCAAGUGGACCUGGGGGCAGGGUAGUGGGAGGACCGCAGUGGGAGUGGGGCCGGGCCACUGUAGGACAGCGAAGGCAUAUAGUGGCGCAUAAAAGCCUGCUGGCUCGGGGCGCCUGCCUCCCUGCUCCUCUGUCCUUGAACAGUGAACCCAGCCUGCAGCCUGGGACCUGGACUCUAGCCCCCAUCCUUCCUUCCCACCUCCCAGCUAGAGGGAGAGCUGGGCCUUGGACAGAAAGAGAAGGGGCUGGAGCAGGCAGAGCACAGGACCUGUCCCUGUCCCUGUGAGCACCUCGGUGGUGCCACGCCUGCAGGGAAUGGGAGCUGGGUGGACAUCCGAGGCUGUGACCAGUGUACCAGGGCGGCCCCCUGAGUCCAUGUGCACACCUCGGCAGCCUAUAUUUAUUUGUUUCUGGCUUAGCCUCAAGGGCUGGAAGCUGGGCCUGUAUUGAAUAAACAGAAACCCAGACAGAAUGGAUGGGCUCCUCGC
rnacentral:lncRNA from 1 species